rnacentral:rRNA from 1 species
UAACGCGGUACGGGUAACCGUCGUUCCCUUUUGGUAGGGAACAACUUCGAGAAAUCGGAGCUAAUACCGCAUAAUAAUAGAGGAUCGCAUGAUUCUUUAAGGAAAGAUGGCCUCUGAAGAUGCUAUCGCAAAAGGAUGGACCCGCGUCUGAUUAGCUAGUUGGAAGGGUAACGGCCUACCAAGGCAACGAUCAGUAGCCGGCCUGAGAGGGUGAACGGCCACAUUGGGACUGAGACACGGCCCAAACUCCUACGGAAGGCAGCAG